rnacentral:rRNA from 1 species
UACGUAGGGAGCGAGCGUUGUCCGGAUUUAUUGGGCGUAAAGAGCGCGUAGGCGGUUCGGUAAGUCGGGUGUGAAAACUCCAAGCUCAACUUGGAGCCUGCAUUCGAAACUGCUGUGACUAGAGUCAGGUAGGGGAACACGGAAUUCCAGGUGUAGCGGUGAAAUGCGUAGAUAUCUGGAGGAACACCGGUGGCGAAGGCGGCAUCCUGGACCGGUAUUGACGCUGAGGCGCGAAAGCCAGGGGAGCAAACGGG